rnacentral:rRNA from 1 species
AUUGAACGCUGGCGGCAGGCCUAACACAUGCAAGUCGAGCGGGGACUUCGGUCCUAGCGGCGAACGGGUGAGUAAUGCUUGGGAAUCUGCCCAGUAGUGGGGGAUAACGUCCCGAAAGGGACGCUAAUACCGCAUACGUCCUACGGGAGAAAGAGGGGGAUCUUCGUACCUCUCGCUAUUGGAUGAGCCCAAGUCGGAUUAGCUAGUUGGUAGGGUAAUGGCCUACCAAGGCGACGAUCCGUAGCUGGUCUGAGAGGAUGAUCAGCCACACUGGAACUGAGACACGGUCCAGACUCCUACGGGAGGCAGCAGUGGGGAAUAUUGGACAAUGGGCGAAAGCCUGAUCCAGCCAUGCCGCGUGUGUGAAGAAGGCCUUCGGGUUGUAAAGCACUUUAAGCGGGGAGGAAGGUUCGCGGCCUAAUACGUCGCGGAAUUGACGUUACCCGCAGAAUAAGCACCGGCUAACUCUGUG